rnacentral:rRNA from 1 species
GUCCAGACUCCUACGGGAGGCAGCAGUGAGGAAUAUUGGUCAAUGGGCUUACGCCUGAACCAGCCAAGUCGCGUGAGGGAAGACUGCCCUAUGGGUUGUAAACCUCUUUUGUCAGGGAGCAACGCCGGCUACGUGUAGCCGGACUGAGAGUACCUGAAGAAAAAGCAUCGGCUAACUCCGUGCCAGCAGCCGCGGUAAUACGGAGGAUGCGAGCGUUAUCCGGAUUUAUUGGGUUUAAAGGGGGCGGAGGGGGAAGGCCAAGUGAGCGGUAAAAUCGGGGGGCACAACCUCGAGCCGCCGUUGAAACUGGCGUUCUUGAGUGGGCGAGAAGUAUGCGGAAUGCGUGGUGUAGCGGUGAAAUGCAUAGAUAUCACGCAGAACUCCGAUUGCGAAGGCAGCGCACCGGCGCCCUACUGACGCUCAGGCACGAAAGCGUGGGUAUCGAACAGGAUUAGAUACCCUUGUA